CCUACGGGUGGCAGCAGUGAGGAAUAUUGGUCAAUGGACGCGAGCCUGAACCAGCCAAGUAGCGUGAAGGAUGACUGCCCUACGGGUUGUAAACUUCUUUUAUAAAAGAAUAAAGUGAGGCACGUGUGCCUUUUUGUAUGUACUUUAUGAAUAAGGAUCGGCUAACUCCGUGCCAGCAGCCGCGGUAAUACGGAGGAUCCGAGCGUUAUCCGGAUUUAUUGGGUUUAAGGGGAGCGUAGAUGGUUUGUUAAGUCAGUUGUGAAAGUUUGAGGCUCAACCGUAAAAUUGCAAUUGAUACUGGCAGCCUUGAGUACAGUUGAGGUAGGCGGAAUGCGUGGUGUAGCGGUGAAAUGCUUAGAUAUCACGAAGAACUCCGAUUGCGAAGGCAGCUUACUAAACUGCCACUGACAUUGAUGCUCGAAAGUGUGGGUAUCAAACAGGAUUAGAUACCCCUGUAGUC
rnacentral:rRNA from 1 species